ensembl:lncRNA
GUUUCAGCAGGAUAAAAAGCUUGUGUUGCUUCUGUGGGUCAGAGGUUCAACAUUAAGCUCUUUUGUAGUUAGAGAUCAUAGAUGGCUGCUUACCAAUUGGUAGAAAUAGAAAAAACAGGCAAUACUUUUGUCAAUAAACACUUGCAGGAAGUAUCUCUGCUGGAAGUAUCAAAAAAAUUUCCUGUAAUAUAGCUCAUGGUGGAUAUCAUCUUUUCCAUCAAAACCUGGCAGGUUUUGCUUCUGCCUUCUGUAUGUCAGUUCGCUUUCUAAUGGGAUCUUCUGAAUCUCACCUGUUUGAGAGCUCCUGGUCACCCUUCACAUCUGGUUGCACGAGUCAGGUGUGUAGAGCUGCUCUAAAGAAACAACUGGUGUUACAAAGAUGGGGUGUUGUUGGAAUCCUUACUUUCCACCUGGCAUUUGUGGCAUUCUUCGGAGAUUAUGUCAGCUUCCCACACACGAGGUUUUCUUACCUUGGCCAUUGUGUCCCUGCUUUCUCUGAACAUCCAUACCCUGAAGCUCCUGCUCUACAGUGGACACCCCUCAACCACCUAUCUCCUAGCUGCUGUACCACUGCAGUUAACUGCUGUAUGAAGGUAAGAUGGUAAUUCACUCUUUGUUUUUAAUUAAAAAAAUAAUAAUUAGAAAGCCUCAAAGGAUGGU